UAUAAUACCCCUCGGAUAUGUGAUAGAUCUAUCGGCAAGAUGCAAUGAUAUGUUUGUCAGCUUAGGAACCGAUAAUCCCAACUAUGUAAACAUCGAUAGAGGCAUAAGAUUAAUGCUUGGCCCUAAGUCACAUAAACAUUUGUUGAAGGACGACUUCCCAAUGGAGCAAGGUAUCGUGAAACUUCUGGGGUCCUUGAGC
rnacentral:lncRNA from 1 species